rnacentral:rRNA from 1 species
GAUGAACGCUGGCGGCGUGCCUAACACAUGCAAGUCGAACGAAGCACCUUACCGGAUUCUUCGGAUGAAAGUUUGGUGACUGAGUGGCGGACGGGUGAGUAACGCGUGGGUAACCUGCCCUGUACAGGGGGAUAACAGCUGGAAACGGCUGCUAAUACCGCAUAAGCGCACGAGGAGACAUCUCCUUGUGUGAAAAACUCCGGUGGUACAGGAUGGGCCCGCGUCUGAUUAGCUGGUUGGCAGGGUAACGGCCUACCAAGGCAACGAUCAGUAGCCGGUCUGAGAGGAUGAACGGCCACAUUGGAACUGAGACACGGUCCAAACUCCUACGGGAGGCAGCAGUGGGGAAUAUUGCACAAUGGGGGAAACCCUGAUGCAGCAACGCCGCGUGAGUGAAGAAGUAUUUCGGUAUGUAAAGCUCUAUCAGCAGGGAAGAUAAUGACGGUACCUGACUAAGAAGCUCCGGCUAAAUACGUGCCAGCAGCCGCGGUAAAAC